GUAAUGCUUAGGAAUCUGCCAAUUAGUGGGGGACAACAUCUCGAAAGGGAUGCUAAUACCGCAUACGUCCUACGGGAGAAAGCAGGGGACCUUCGGGCCUUGCGCUAAUAGAUGAGCCUAAGUCGGAUCAGCUAGUUGGUGGGGUAAAGGCCUACCAAGGCGACGAUCUGUAGCGGGUCUGAGAGGAUGAUCCGCCACACUGGGACUGAGACACGGCCCAGACUCCUACGGGAGGCAGCAGUGGGGAAUAUUGGACAAUGGGGGGAACCCUGAUCCAGCCAUGCCGCGUGUGUGAAGAAGGCCUUUUGGUUGUAAAGCACUUUAAGCGAGGAGGAGGCUACCGAGAUUAAUACUCUUGGAUAGUGGACGUUACUCGCAGAAUAAGCACCGGCUAACUCUGUGCCAGCAGCCGCGGUAAUACAGAGGGUGCAAGCGUUAAUCGGAUUUACUGGGCGUAAAGCGCGCGUAGGUGGCCAAUUAAGUCAAAUGUGAAAUCCCCGAGCUUAACUUGGGAAUUGCAUUCGAUACUGGUUGGCUAGAGUAUGGGAGAGGAUGGUAGAAUUCCAGGUGUAGCGGUGAAAUGCGUAGAGAUCUGGAGGAAUACCGAUGGCGAAGGCAGCCAUCUGGCCUAAUACUGACACUGAGGUG
rnacentral:rRNA from 1 species